CCUCUUCUAUCUCUACUGCUUCCUCCGCCACGUCCGUAUCCAUAAUCGUACCCUCCACUUAGACUCCCCCAUUGCUUCCUCCCUCUACCGCUCUUCUUUCGUGACCUCCACUUUGCCACUGCCUUCUUUGACCCCUCUUGUUCUCUCAACCGUGGUGCCUCCACGGAGGUCUUCUACGACCUCAUCCCUGACGGUAAGUCAAAGCACGUCGAACAAUUUUGUUAAGAGAAAUUU
rnacentral:lncRNA from 1 species